rnacentral:rRNA from 1 species
CCUACGGGACGCAGCAGUGAGGAAUAUUGGUCAAUGGACGGAAGUCUGAACCAGCCAUGCCGCGUGCAGGAAGACGGCUCUAUGAGUUGUAAACUGCUUUUGCACAAGGGUAAACCUGAAUACGUGUAUUCUGCUGAAAGUACUGUACGAAUAAGGACAGGCUAACUCCGUGUCAGCAGCCGCGGUAAUACGGAGGAUCCAAGCGUUAUCCGGAUUUAGAGGGUUGAAAGGGUGCGUAGGUGGAUUGAUAAGUUAGAGGUGAAAUGUGCGAGCCUAACUCGGGAACUGCCUCUAAUACUGUUGAUCUAGAGAGUAGAUGCGGUAGGCGGAAUGUAUGGUGUAGCGGUGAAAUGCUUAGAGAUCAUACGGAACACCGAUUGCGAAGGCAGCUUACCAAUCUAUAUCUGACGUUGAGGCACGAAAGCGUGGGGAGCAAACAGGAUUAGAUACCCGUGUAGUC